AUGAACGCUAGCUACAGGCUUAACACAUGCAAGUCGAGGGGCAGCAUUUCAGUUUGCUUGCAAACUGGAGAUGGCGACCGGCGCACGGGUGAGUAACACGUAUCCAACCUGCCGAUAACUCGGGAAUAGCCUUUCGAAAGAAAGAUUAAUACCCGAUGGUAUAAUCAGACCGCAUGGUCUUGUUAUUAAAGAAUUUCGGUUAUCGAUGGGGAUGCGUUCCAUUAGGCAGUUGGUGAGGUAACGGCUCACCAAACCUUCGAUGGAUAGGGGUUCUGAGAGGAAGGUCCCCCACAUUGGAACUGAGACACGGUCCAAACUCCUACGGGAGGCAGCAGUGAGGAAUAUUGGUCAAUGGGCGCAGGCCUGAACCAGCCAAGUAGCGUGAAGGAUGACUGCCCUAUGGGUUGUAAACUUCUUUUAUAUGGGAAUAAAGUUUUCCACGUGUGGAAUUUUGUAUGUACCAUAUGAAUAAGGAUCGGCUAACUCCGUGCCAGCAGCCGCGGUAAUACGGAGGAUCCGAGCGUUAUCCGGAUUUAUUGGGUUUAAAGGGAGCGUAGGUGGACAGUUAAGUCAGUUGUGAAAGUUUGCGGCUCAACCGUAAAAUUGCAGUUGAUACUGGCUGUCUUGAGUACAGUAGAGGUGGGCGGAAUUCGUGGUGUAGCGGUGAAAUGCUUAGAUAUCACGAAGAACUCCGAUUGCGAAGGCAGCUCACUGGACUGCAACUGACACUGAUGCUCGAAAGUGUGGGUAUCAAACAGGAUUAGAUACCCUGGUAGUCCACACAGUAAACGAUGAAUACUCGCUGUUUGCGAUAUACAGUAAGCGGCCAAGCGAAAGCAUUAAGUAUUCCACCUGGGGAGUACGCCGGCAACGGUGAAACUCAAAGGAAUUGACGGGGGCCCGCACAAGCGGAGGAACAUGUGGUUUAAUUCGAUGAUACGCGAGGAACCUUACCCGGGCUUAAAUUGCAUUUGAAUAUAUUGGAAACAGUAUAGCCGUAAGGCAAAUGUGAAGGUGCUGCAUGGUUGUCGUCAGCUCGUGCCGUGAGGUGUCGGCUUAAGUGCCAUAACGAGCGCAACCCUUAUCUUUAGUUACUAACAGGUCAUGCUGAGGACUCUAGAGAGACUGCCGUCGUAAGAUGUGAGGAAGGUGGGGAUGACGUCAAAUCAGCACGGCCCUUACGUCCGGGGCUACACACGUGUUACAAUGGGGGGUACAGAAGGCAGCUACCUGGUGACAGGAUGCUAAUCCCAAAAGCCUCUCUCAGUUCGGAUCGAAGUCUGCAACCCGACUUCGUGAAGCUGGAUUCGCUAGUAAUCGCGCAUCAGCCAUGGCGCGGUGAAUACGUUCCCGGGCCUUGUACACACCGCCCGUCAAGCCAUGAAAGCCGGGGGUACCUGAAGUACGUAACCGCAAGGAGCGUCCUAGGGUAAAACUGGUAAUUGGGGCU
rnacentral:rRNA from 1 species